rnacentral:misc_RNA from 1 species
GAUGAAGAACGUAGCGAAAUGCGAUAAGUAAUGUGAAUUGCAGAAUUCAGUGAAUCAUCGAAUCUUUGAACGCAUCUUGCGCUCCUUGGUAUUCUGAGGAGCAUGCCUGUUUGAGUGUCAUUAAAUUCUCAACUACACUGACUUUGAAUUGGUGUGGCUUGGAUUUGGGGGGAAAAUUGUUGUGGGCUUUUUGUAUAGUCUGCUCCCCUGAAAUUGAUUAGCGGUACCUUUGUGGAACUGUCUACAGGUGUGAUAAUUAUCUACAUCUUAGACAUCUGCUGGAAUGCUGCUCUCUAAACCUUACUUGUAUUGACAAUCUUGACCUCAAAUCAGGUAGGACUACCCGCUGAACUUAAGCAUAUCAAUAAGCGGAGGA